GAUGAACGCUGGCGGCGUGCCUAAUACAUGCAAGUCGAGCGAACAGAUGAGGAGCUUGCUCCUCUGACGUUAGCGGCGGACGGGUGAGUAACACGUGGAUAACCUACCUAUAAGACUGGGAUAACUUCGGGAAACCGGAGCUAAUACCGGAUAAUAUAUUGAACCGCAUGGUUCAAUAGUGAAAAACGGUUUUGCUGUCACUUAUAGAUGGAUCCGCGCCGCAUUAGCUAGUUGGUAAGGUAACGGCUUACCAAGGCAACGAUGCGUAGCCGACCUGAGAGGGUGAUCGGCCACACUGGAACUGAGACACGGUCCAGACUCCUACGGGAGGCAGCAGUAGGGAAUCUUCCGCAAAGGGCGAAAGCCUGACGGAGCAACGCCGCGUGAGUGAUGAAGGUCUUCGGAUCGUAAAACUCUGUUAUUAGGGAAGAACAAAUGUGUAAGUAACUAUGCACGUCUUGACGGUACCUAAUCAGAAAGCCACGGCUAACUACGUG
rnacentral:rRNA from 1 species